rnacentral:tRNA from 1 species
GAGAGAGGCCUGCUCGCAGCAAAGACUGCUAAUCUUCGCCUCCCUGGUUGAACUCCAGGGCUCACUCG